UCCGUAGGUGAACCUGCGGAAGGAUCAUUAGUGAAUUUAGAGCGUAACUUCGGUUAGCUCAACCUUCAUUUUCCAACUCUGUGCACUAUUGGCGGACUGGGAGCAAGUAAUUGCUAUUCAGUCUGCGGCUCACUAUUAAACAUUAGUUAAAGUAUGUAUAUAAAAACAAAACAAAAAAAACUUUCAACAACGGAUCUCUUGGCUCUCGCAUCGAUGAAGAACGCAGCGAAAUGUGAUAAGUAAUGUGAAUUGCAGAAUUCAGUGAAUCAUCGAAUCUUUGAACGCACCUUGCGCUCUCUGGUAUUCCGGAGAGCAUGUCUGUUUGAGUGUCAUGAACUCUUCAACCUACCGAUUUCUAGUAAAUCGGAUUAGUGUUUGGAUUUUGAACGCUUGCUGGCCUUUAUUGGCGAAGCUCGUUCGUAAAUGAUUAGCAUCUCAUAUUCGAAAAAUCGGAUUGACUCAGUGUAAUAGACUAUUCGCUGAGGACGCUCUUUCGGGAGUGGCCGAGUUUUGUAAAGUAGAAGCUUCUAAUUCUAUUAGUCAACUUUAGAUUAGACCUCAGAUCAGGCAGGAUUACCCGCUGAACUUAAGCAUAUCAAUA
rnacentral:rRNA from 1 species